rnacentral:rRNA from 1 species
AUGGUUCAGAGGAAGAUCACCUACUACGCAAUGCUCACGCCAGAGCGUCGGUACGAGAUCCAGCGGGAGAUCCGGGCGAGACAAGCCGCGCGCGCCGCCCGCAUCACUACCGGGCUGCCUCCGGACUCGCCGGAGCCGGAGAAGGAGGAGGAGCAGUUGGUGGAAGAGGAGGAAAGGGAGCUGACUCCGAUGAAGGUGGAGGAUGCAGAGGAGGCAGAGCCGCCAGAGCAGGAGAUGUCGGGCUUCAACAUGAAGCAGGCGGAGGCAGAGUUCAUCGUCGCCCAAUCGGUGGAGAUGGCGGAGAAGCAGGUCAUCCUGGAGUCCAUCUAG